AGUGAACGCUGGCGGCAUGCCUAACACAUGCAAGUCGAACGGCAGCAUGAUCUGGCCUUGUAGAUUCGUGUCGAGUGUGGAGCACGGGUGUAAUACACCUGGACGUGCACUGUUGCGUGGGGGAACUAGUCGAGAGAUUAGCGAUUACCGCAUACAAGCUGUGGGGGAGAGAGCAGGACCUCAUGGCCCCUUGCGAGAGGAACUGCGGAUGUCUGAUUAGCUAGUUGGUGAGGUAAAGGCGCACCAAGGCGACGAUCAGUAGCUGGUCUGAGAGGAGGAUCAGCCACACUGGAACUGAGACACGGCCCAGACUCCUACGGGAGGCAGCAGUGGGGAAUUUUGGACAAUGGGCGCAAGCCUGAUCCAGCAAUGCCGCGUGUGUGAAGAAGGCCUUCGGGUUGUAAAGCACUUUUGUCCGGAAAGAAAAGGAGCUGGUUAAUACCCGGCGUUGCUGACGGUACCGGAAGAAUAAGGACCGGCUAACUACGUG
rnacentral:rRNA from 1 species